UGGGGAAUAUUGCACAAUGGGCGAAAGCCUGAUGCAGCGACGCCGCGUGAGGGAUGACGGCCUUCGGGUUGUAAACCUCUUUCAGUAGGGACGAAGCGCAAGUGACGGUACCUACAGAAGAAGCACCGGCCAACUACGUGCCAGCAGCCGCGGUAAUACGUAGGGUGCGAGCGUUGUCCGGAUUUACUGGGCGUAAAGAGCUCGUAGGCGGUUUGUCACGUCGUCUGUGAAAACCCGAGGCUUAACCUCGGGCCUGCAGGCGAUACGGGCAGACUUGAGUACUGUAGGGGAGACUGGAAUUCCUGGUGUAGCGGUGGAAUGCGCAGAUAUCAGGAGGAGCACCGGUGGCGAAGACGGGUCUCUGGGCAGUAACUGACGCUGAGGAGCGAAAGCGUGGGUAGCGAACAGG
rnacentral:rRNA from 1 species